rnacentral:rRNA from 1 species
GAUGAACGCUAGCUACAGGCUUAACACAUGCAAGUCGAGGGGUAAUGAGAGGGAAGCUUGCUUUCCUUGUCGACGACCGGCGGAUGGGUGAGUAACGCGUGUCCAACCUGCCCUUCAGUAAGGGAUAGCCUUUCGAAAGAAAGAAUAAUACCUUAUGUGAUCGUCUGAUGACAUCAGACGACGAUCAAAGAUUUAUCGCUGAAGGAUGGGGAUGCGUCCCAUUAGGCAGUAGGCGGGGUAACGGCCCACCUAACCUACGAUGGGUAGGGGUUCUGAGAGGAAGGUCCCCCACAUUGGAACUGAGACACGGUCCAAACUCCUACGGGAGGCAGCAGUGAGGAAUAUUGGUCAAUGGCCGUAAGGCUGAACCAGCCAGGUAGCGUGCAGGAUGACGGCCCUAUGGGUUGUAAACUGCUUUUAAACGGGGAUAAAGUGAGCCACGUGUGGUUUAUUGUAGGUACCGUUUGAAUAAGGACCGGCUAAUUCCGUGCCAGCCGCCGCGGUAACAC